GCGGUGGAGCAUGUGGUUUAAUCGACGCAACGCGAAGAACCUUACCAGGGCUUGACAUCCCCUGACCGCGUAUGAAAGUACGUUUUCACCCUCGGGUGACAGGGAGACAGGUGCUGCAUGGCUGUCGUCAGCUCGUGUCGUGAGAUGUUGGGUUAAGUCCCGCAACGAGCGCAACCCUUAUCCCUAGUUGCCAUCAGGUAAAGCUGGGAACUCUGGGGAGACUGCCGGUGAUAAACCGGAGGAAGGCGGGGAUGACGUCAAGUCCUCAUGGCCCUUACAUCCCGGGCUACACACGUGCUACAAUGGCAGGUACAGAGGGCUGCGAAGCCGCGAGGUGGAGCGAAUCCCAGAAAACCUGUCUCAGUCCGGAUUGAAGUCUGCAACUCGACUUCAUGAAGGCGGAAUCGCUAGUAACCGCGAAUCAGCAGGUCGCGGUGAAUACGUUCCCGGGCCUU
rnacentral:rRNA from 1 species